rnacentral:rRNA from 1 species
AAUAGAUACCCUGGUAGUCCACGCCGUAACGAUGGAUGCUAGCUGUUAUGAGUAUCGACCCUUGUAGUAGCGAAGCUAACGCGUUAAGCAUCCCGCCUGUGGAGUACGAGCGCAAGCUUAAAACAUAAAGGAAUUGACGGGGACCCGCACAAGCGGUGGAGCGUGUUGUUUAAUUCGAUGAUAAGCGAAGAACCUUACCAAGGCUUGACAUCCCUGGAAUUUCUCCGAAAGGAGAGAGUGCCUUCGGGAAUCAGGUGACAGGUGAUGCAUGGCCGUCGUCAGCUCGUGUCGUGAGAUGUUUGGUUAAGUCCAUCAACGAGCGCAACCCUUGUAAAUAGUUGUAAUUUUUCUAUUUAGACUGCCUCGGUAACGGGGAGGAAGGAGGGGAUGAUGUCAGGUCAGUAUUUCCCUUACGCCUUGGGCUACAAACACGCUACAAUGGCCGGUACAAAGGGCAGCCAACCCGCGAGGGGGAGCAAAUCCCAUCAAAACCGGUCUCAGUUCGGAUAGCAGGCUGAAAUUCGCCUGCUUGAAGCCGGAAUCG